rnacentral:rRNA from 1 species
GAUGAACGCUGGCGGCGUGCCUAAUACAUGCAAGUCGAGCGAACAGACGAGGAGCUUGCUCCUCUGACGUUAGCGGCGGACGGGUGAGUAACACGUGGAUAACCUACCUAUAAGACUGGGAUAACUUCGGGAAACCGGAGCUAAUACCGGAUAAUAUAUUGAACCGCAUGGUUCAAUAGUGAAAGACGGUUUUGCUGUCACUUAUAGAUGGAUCCGCGCCGCAUUAGCUAGUUGGUAAGGUAACGGCUUACCAAGGCAACGAUGCGUAGCCGACCUGAGAGGGUGAUCGCCCACACUGGAACUGAGACACGGUCCAGACUCCUACGGGAGGCAGCAGUAGGGAAUCGUCCGCAAUGGGCGAAAGCCUGACGGAGCAACGCCGCGUGAGUGAUGAAGGUCUUCGGAUCGUAAAACUCUGUUAUUAGGGAAGAACAAAUGUGUAAGUAACUAUGCACGUCUUGACGGUACCUAAUCAGAAAGCCACGGCUAACUACGUG